UACGUAGGGGGCAAGCGUUGUCCGGAUUUAUUGGGCGUAAAGAGCGUGUAGGCGGCCAUACAGGUCCGUUGUGAAAACUGGAGGCUUAACCUCCAGACGUCGAUGGAAACCGUAUGGCUAGAGUCCGGAAGAGGAGAGUGGAAUUCCCGGUGUAGCGGUGAAAUGUGUAGAGAUCGGGAGGAACACCGGUGGCGAAGGCGGGUCUCUGGGCAAUUCCUGACGCUGAGGCGCGAAAGCGUGGGGAGCAAACGGG
rnacentral:rRNA from 1 species